CCGUCUUAUUUUGGAAGCGGGCAGAGGAAGCAGAGUAAAGAAAGAGCAGAAGUAGAACUGUUUUUAAGCUGUGUUUGAAGUUGAAAGGGAAGCAUCUUCUAGAAGCAUUUCUGUUUGUAUCUUUACAUCAAAACGCAGUUUGUUUUCCAUACAGUUACAUCUCUACCAGUCUUAUUAAGGGAAAUUACUGCUCUUUAACUUGCCAGACAACUCACAACAUGACAUCAUGGGGAACCCCCCAAAUGCCUGAAAACAAAUUCCUGGAUAGCGCAGAGUAGGAGGUGCUGGGAGCUCUGCUACUGUCUUUUCACUCCUGUGGGAGAACGUGCUUCCAGCCGAGUUAGUAACACGUCAUUGAGCACUGGCUGCAUCUGCUGAGCAUUCAGUGCUUCAGAGUUUAAGUGAUGUGCAAACCAUUUUGAGCAAAAACAAAGAAAGUUUUAGACCAGCUAUCAGAAAGUUUUCUAAUGCCGAGUUACGUCAUAUUGAAAGAGAUGUUUUAGAUCAGGCACGUCCGACCUGUGGCUCAUUGUAUCUCUUGUAGGUACCAUGAAAAGACAGCAGGCAUUACAUUUGGAGCAGCCUACGUAUAUCUGGUCCAAUACAACCCCUUUUCACUCAAUGUGGCCUGGUGGGUGAAGCCCAUUAUGAAGGGUACCUGAAACCAGGUAGCUGAAGACAGAAAUACAAUCCCAUUCUUCCAAGCUUUCUCAGAGUGAAGGAAUCCAGCUGCCAGCUUCUCCUUUGCACAUCAUGUACUUCAGACUUCCAAAUGGGAACUCAAUAUACAUACUUGAGAACAGGGCAGAAAUAGGUAUCAGAGCAGAGAAGAAAGUGAAGGCACACUGCUGGCAUUCUAGAUGCUGUUCCGGUUUGGGAUAGUGCUUUUCUUACCACGGCCUUAAAGGACUUUGUGGAGAAACAGCACACUGCAUUAAGUGACAGCUCAGUCUGGUCCUGCCUCUCCAUUCAUCAUGUGGGCAUGGUCACAGGAGCCAUUUCAAACCAUGCGAGUGAGAACACAAGUGCAGCUGGACCUGGAGUGCCACAACUGAUUUAGAUGAACGAUUGUGGAAAGAGCUAUUUGAGAAGUCAAUGCUUCUAAGGGAGCAGUUUUGAUGCUGGGAUACUAGAAACCCUGCACAACCCAGUGAUGUGAUGGUUUUCUCCAGGUCUCAGAGCAGCUGUCCAGAUCUUCACGCUCACCUCUGCUUUCAGAGGUAAGUUGCACCAGCGGGGUGGUACUGGGUUGGUGAUAUUUGUCUCCAGACACCAAAUGCCACAUUCACAGUGUCUCAGCCAGCCUCACUGCUCUCCACCUCACCACUGUCUGCACAAAGCAUUGCCUGAACCAGACAGUGUUUCUUCUGCAAUAGCAGCCUAUGUAAUUCUCACUCGGGAGCCAGGAAGAAAGCUCUCUGAAGCCCUUAGGCAAAUGCAGGGGGUGUAUGAGGGAUAUAAAUAUGUUUGUGUUAGAGUGUUUUUGUGUCUGUUUCCAGCUUGUGGCAAAGAGGUAUUUGAUGGGUGCUAUCCUGCUGCUGUCUGAAUGAUGGAAGGGUUUGCCUGUUCUUUUCAAAAAGGAAAACAAAACAAAAUAACAACAACAAAAAACCAAUUCUACCUGUCAUGUAUUCUACCUGUAUUAUCAUUAAGAUCCUUUAAUUAAUAUACUCAGGCUUGCUUUUAAGGUCAGGCACAGACAAAUCCAGUAGGUGGGCCCGAAAUGUGAUCAGCCAUUCAAAGUUAAUUAAACUCUGCCUGACUCCUACGUUCAGCUGUUGUAGAAGGGCUGGAUCCUGAACUGCCCUACAUCAGCUUAAUGCCAUGGGCUUUACACAGAUCAGGCAUUGGCUCCAGAUCUGACCAGUGUAGAGGACUUUUCCAGAACUGAGAAAAGUAAAG